rnacentral:rRNA from 1 species
UACAGAGGUCUCGAGCGUUAGGCGGAAUCACUGGGCUUAAAGCGCGUGUAGGCGGCUUUGCAAGUCGGGUGUGAAAUCCCUCGGCUCAACCGAGGAAGUGCGCCCGAAACUGCAGAGCUUGAGUACCGGAGAGGAUGGCGGAAUUCCCCAAGUAGAGGUGAAAUUCGUAGAUAUGGGGAGGAACACCGGUGGCGAAGGCGGCCAUCUGGACGGAUACUGACGCUGAGACGCGAAAGCGUGGGGAGCAAACAGG